rnacentral:sRNA from 10 species
AGCAGCACGGGAGAGCGACCCGUGGCUGGCAGACAAUCCAGCCCCCAUCCCACGGCAACUGUGGAUAGGGGCUGGCUUUCUGCGCUUAACCCCGUCUUCAAAUAAAGGGAAAGAUUCAGUGCAUUGCACUUGAUUGCACAACUUCUCGCCAGCGUUAGGGAACGGACCGCAUCGCUCGGGGCGAACAUCUUUCUCCUCGCGGUUCCGUAGUCCCG